rnacentral:misc_RNA from 1 species
GAUGAAGAACGUAGCGAAAUGCGAUAAGUAAUGUGAAUUGCAGAAUUCAGUGAAUCAUCGAAUCUUUGAACGCACAUUGCUCCCGCUAGUAUUCUGGCGGGCAUGCCUGUCCGAGCGUCAUUUCAACCCUCAAGCCCCCGGGCUUGGUGUUGGGGAUCGGCGAGCCUCCGCGCCCGCCGUCCCCUAAAUCUAGUGGCGGUCUCGCUGUAGCUUCCUCUGCGUAGUAGCACACCUCGCACUGGGAAACAGCGCGGCCACGCCGUUAAACCCCCAACUUCUGAACGUUUGACCUCGGAUCAGGUAGGAAUACCCGCUGAACUUAAGCAUAUCAAUAAGCGGAGGA